UACGGAGGGAGCUAGCGUUAUUCGGAAUUACUGGGCGUAAAGCGCACGUAGGCGGCUUUGUAAGUAAGAGGUGAAAGCCCGGGGCUCAACUCCGGAAUUGCCUUUAAAACUGCAUCGCUAGAAUUGUGGAGAGGUAAGUGGAAUUCCGAGUGUAGAGGUGAAAUUCGUAGAUAUUCGGAAGAACACCAGUGGCGAAGGCGGCUCACUGGACUGGUAUUGACGCUGAGGUGCGAAAGCGUGGGGAGCAAACAGG
rnacentral:rRNA from 1 species